CAAUAGCGUAUACUAAAGUUGUUGCAGUUAAAAAGCUCGUAGUUGAAUUUCUGGUUGUGAAAGACGGUCCAUUCCUCAAGGAAUGCGUUACUAUUCAUUCAUGGCCAUCCUCGGGGAGAAUGUGUGUUACUUUCAGUAGUCGCGCACAGGAACCCCGUCCAUUUACUUGUGAGCAAAAUAAGAGUGUUUCAAAGACAGGCUUAUGCCGUUGAAUAUAUUAGCAUGGAAUAAUAAGAUAUGACUUUGGUCUAUUUUGUUUGGUUUGUCUUUCCUAAAGUAAAUGAUUAAUAGGGAUAGUUGGGGGUAGUUCGUAUUCAAUUGUCAGAGGUGAAAUUCUUGGAUUUAUGGAAGACGAACUACUGCGAAAGCAUUUGCCA
rnacentral:rRNA from 1 species